AAUUAUCAAAGCAAAUAUUUUCGUUAAUUCGACUGCCUUUGCUUUGGACUUGGGGGCCUGCGGAUUUCACAGUCCGCUCCUCUUAAAUGCAUUAGCUGGAUUCUCGGUGAGCUCGGUUCCACUCGGCGUGAUAAGUAUCACUCGCUGAGGACACCCGUUAAAAAAGGUGGCCAGGCUUGCAGAUGAACCGCUUCCAACGGUCUAUUGACUUGGACAAUGAAUUUACG
rnacentral:misc_RNA from 1 species